rnacentral:rRNA from 1 species
GACGAACGCUGGCGGCGUGCCUAAUACAUGCAAGUCGAAAGCAGUGGGGACGGGUGAGUAACAAGUGGGUAACCUCCCAUCAGAGGGGAUAACACUUGGAAACAGGUGCUAAAACGAUACUGAUGGAUGGACCCGCGGUGCAUUAGCUAGUUGGUGGGGUAACGGCUCACCAAGGCAACGAUGCAUCGCCGACCUGGGAGGGUGAGCGGCCACACUGGGACUGAGACACGGCCCAGACUCCUACGUGAGGCAGCAUUAGGGAAUCUUCGGCAGUGGACGAAAUUCUGACCGGGCAACGCCGCGUGAGUGAAGAAGGUUUUCGGAUCGUAAAACUCUGUUGUUAGAGAAGCGGUAUCUAACCAGAAAGCCACGGCUAACUCCGUGCCAGCAGCCGCGGUAAUAC